rnacentral:rRNA from 1 species
GCUCAGAUUGAACGCUGGCGGCAGGCCUAACACAUGCAAGUCGAGCGGCAGCACAAGGGAGUUUACUUCUGAGGUGGCGAGCGGCGGACGGGUGAGUAAUGCCUAGGGAUCUGCCCAGUCGAGGGGGAUAACAGUUGGAAACGACUGCUAAUACCGCAUACGCCCUACGGGGGAAAGGAGGGGACCUUCGGGCCUUCCGCGAUUGGAUGAACCUAGGUGGGAUUAGCUAGUUGGUGAGGUAAUGGCUCACCAAGGCGACGAUCCCUAGCUGUUCUGAGAGGAUGAUCAGCCACACUGGGACUGAGACACGGCCCAGACUCCUACGGGAGGCAGCAGUGGGGAAUAUUGCACAAUGGGGGAAACCCUGAUGCAGCCAUGCCGCGUGUGUGAAGAAGGCCUUCGGGUUGUAAAGCACUUUCAGUAGGGAGGAAAGGGUGAAUGUUUAAUACGCUACAUCUGUGACGUACCUACAGAAGAA